GCAAGUCGAACGACGUCCUUUUACUUCGGUGAAAGGAAACGAGUGGCAAACGGGAGAGUAACACAUUGGUAACCUACCUCUAAGACGGGGAUAGCUCGCCGAAAGGCGGAUUAAGACCCGAUAGUAAUGGGGGGACAAUAAGUCAUUCCCAUUUAAAUAAUUUAUUGCUUAGAGAGGGGCCUAUGGCCUAUCAGCUUGUUGGUAAGGUAAAAGCUUACCAAGGCUAUGACGGGUAGCGGGUGUGAGAGCAUGACC
rnacentral:rRNA from 1 species